GAUGAACGCUGGCGGCGUGCCUAAUACAUGCAAGUCGAGCGAACAGACGAGGAGCUUGCUCCUCUGACGUUAGCGGCGGACGGGUGAGUAACACGUGGAUAACCUACCUAUAAGACUGGGAUAACUUCGGGAAACCGGAGCUAAUACCGGAUAAUAUAUUGAACCGCAUGGUUCAAUAGUGAAAGACGGUUUUGCUGUCACUUAUAGCUGGAUCCGCGCCGCAUUAGCUAGUUGGUAAGGUAACGGCUUACCAAGGCGACGAUGCGUAGCCGACCUGAGAGGGUGAUCGGCCACACUGGAACUGAGACACGGUCCAGACUCCUACGGGAGGCAGCAGUAGGGAAUCUUCAGCAAUGGGCGAAAGCCUGACGGAGCAACGCCGCGUGAGUGAUGAAGGUCUUCGGAUCGUAAAACUCUGUUAUUAGGGAAGAACAAAUGUGUAAGUAACUAUGCACGUCUUGACGGUACAUAAUCAGAAAGCCACGGCUAACUACGUG
rnacentral:rRNA from 1 species